AGAGUUUGAUCAUGGCUCAGGAUGAACGCUAGCGGCAGGCUUAAUACAUGCAAGUCGAGGGGCAGCAGGUCCCGCAAGGGAUGCUGGCGACCGGCAAACGGGUGCGGAACACGUACGCAACUUUCCUUCAAGUGAGGAAUAGCCCAGGGAAACUUGGAUUAAUACCUCGUAAUAUUAUGAAGUGGCAUCACUUUAUAAUUAUAGCUCCGGCGCUUGAAGAUGGGCGUGCGCCUGAUUAGGUAGUUGGCGGGGUAAUGGCCCACCAAGCCUACGAUCAGUAACUGGUGUGAGAGCACGACCAGUCACACGGGCACUGAGACACGGGCCCGACUCCUACGGGAGGCAGCAGUAAGGAAUAUUGGGCAAUGGACGCAAGUCUGACCCAGCCAUGCCGCGUGGAGGAUGAAGGUCCUCUGGAUUGUAAACUUCUUUUAUCUGGGAAGAAAUCCAUAUUUUCCAAUGUGGUUGACGGUACCAGAUGAAUAAGCACCGGCUAACUCCGUGCCAGCAGCCGCGGUAAUACGGAGGGUGCAAGCGUUAUCCGGAUUCACUGGGUUUAAAGGGUGCGUAGGUGGGCAGGUAAGUCAGUGGUGAAAUCUCCGGGCUUAACCCGGAAACUGCCGUUGAUACUAUCUGUCUUGAAUAUCGUGGAGGUUAGCGGAAUAUGUCAUGUAGCGGUGAAAUGCUUAGAUAUGACAUAGAACACCGAUUGCGAAGGCAGCUAACUACACGAUCAUUGACACUGAGGCACGAAAGCGUGGGGAGCAAACAGGAUUAGAUACCCUAGUAGUCC
rnacentral:rRNA from 1 species